rnacentral:rRNA from 1 species
CCUACGGGAGGCAGCAGUGGGGAAUAUUGCACAAUGGGCGCAAGCCUGAUGCAGCAACGCCGCGUGAGGGACGACGGCCUUCGGGUUGUAAACCUCUUUUAGUAGGGAAGAAGCGAAAGUGACGGUACCUGCAGAAAAAGCACCGGCUAACUACGUGCCAGCAGCCGCGGUAAUACGUAGGGUGCAAGCGUUAUCCGGAAUUAUUGGGCGUAAAGAGCUCGUAGGCGGUUUGUCGCGUCUGCUGUGAAAACUGGAGGCUCAACCUCCAGCCUGCAGUGGGUACGGGCAAACUAGAGUGCGGUAGGGGAGAUUGGAAUUCCUGGUGUAGCGGUGGAAUGCGCAGAUAUCAGGAGGAACACCGAUGGCGAAGGCAGAUCUCUGGGCCGUAACUGACGCUGAGGAGCGAAAGCAUGGGGAGCGAACAGGAUUAGAUACCCUGGUAGUCCAUGCCGUAAACGUUGGGCGCUAGAUGUGGGGACCAUUCCACGGUUUCCGUGUCGCNGCUACGCAUAAGUACGCCCCGCCCGUCGGGAGGUACGGCCGCGACGGACGUAAACCUACAAAGGAAGUAGACGGCGUGAGACGUCGCCGACGGACGACGACGAGGGAGGUUAGG